rnacentral:lncRNA from 1 species
AACCCCAAGCAUAAAUCAACCAAGCCCAAUCGUCAAAGCCCAUAUCAAUCCAUAAACGACAUUUUAAAAACGGGUGAGACGGUGCUGAUGUGGCGAUUCCUCAUUCCUCUGCGGUGCUGACGUGGCAGCGUGUGAAGAGAAUCCCUUCUCCUUUAUAUAUAUAGAAGUGUCAACGUAAAACUCAAGAUCAAUACACCUCUUCAAGAUAUCGUGCCACGAACGCGACAAGAGCCUCCCCACGCUUCUACUCUCUACUUUUGUCCGUUUCCGUUGUUCUUUGUUCUAUGGAAUUCAUCGAUAAAUAGGAAUGAUAAAAGGUAGAUUAAGAAAGAAAUUUGAUCAAAUAACCAAAAAAAAAUAUAUUUCGCCCACUAAUCAUAUCACUCUCUCUCUCUCUCAUUUCUAUUCCUAUUUCUCUGU